CUUUGUUUAAGGGAUUUGCUCAAACCGCCGGCUGAUGGUGAGUUGCCCUAGAACAUGAAUAUGUCCCCAGUUCCACACGAAGAAGCCGCGCGACGCCACCCCGAGGAAGAAAAUUUUUUCUUCGCAUCCCGUUUGAUUCUCGGGGAAAAAUUUUCGGUCAUCCGCGCCCUGUACCUGGACCGUGUUCUGCUAGAGCUAUAAAAUGGCAGGAGGAGCAGUCGAGAUAGCAAUCAACUUCCGGGCCGAUGAAGCUGAUACAUAAAGCAGCCUGGUGCUUCGAUUGCUGGUUGCGGCUUUGGUUAGUUGCUGCUGCUGGAAGAGCUGUCCCGCGGAAACCAAACAAAAAUUAAAAAAAAUGGUGAAAUAAUAUGAUAUUAAUAAAAACUGAGUUCAA